AGAUUGAACGCUGGCGGCAGGCCUAACACAUGCAAGUCGAGCGGUAGAGAGGUGCUUGCAUCUCUUGAGAGCGGCGGACGGGUGAGUAAUGCCUAGGAAUCUGCCUAGUGGUGGGGGAUAACGUUCGGAAACGGACGCUAAUACCGCAUACGUCCUACGGGAGAAAGCGGGGGACCUUCGGGCCUCGCGCCAUUAGAUGAGCCUAGGUCGGAUUAGCUAGUUGGUGAGGUAAUGGCUCACCAAGGCGACGAUCCGUAACUGGUCUGAGAGGAUGAUCAGUCACACUGGAACUGAGACACGGUCCAGACUCCUACGGGAGGCAGCAGUGGGGAAUAUUGGACAAUGGGCGAAGGCCUGAUCCAGCCAUGCCGCGUGUGUGAAGAAGGUCUUCGGAUUGUAAACCUCUUUCAGUCAGGACGAAAGCGCAAGUGACGGUACCUGCAGAAGAAGCACCGGCUAACUACGUGCCAGCAGCCG
rnacentral:rRNA from 1 species